rnacentral:rRNA from 1 species
AUUGAACGCUGGCGGCAUGCUUUACACAUGCAAGUCGAACGGCAGCGCGAGCUUCUGCCUGGCUACGAGUGACGAACUGAGGAGUAAUCCAUCGGAACGUGCCCAGUAGUGGUGGAUAGCACGGCGAAAUCCGGAUUAAUACCGCAAACGACUUCCGCGUAAAAUCAGUUAUCCCAAAAUCCUCACUCUAUUGGAGCGACCGAGGUCGGAUUAGCUAGUUGGUGGGGUAAAGACUUACUAAGGCGGCUAUCCGCAGCUGGUCUGGGAGGACGACCACCCACACUGGGACUGAGACACGGCCAAGAUUCCUAGGGGAGGCAGCAGUGGGGAAUUUUGGACAAUGGGGGCAAUCCUGAUCAAGACAUGCGGCGGGCGGGAAGAAGGCCUUCGGGUUGUAAACUGCUUUUGUUGGGGAGGAAGUGCUUUGGGCUAAUAACCUGGGGGGAUGACGGUACCGGAAGAAUAAGCACCGGCUAACUACGUG